rnacentral:rRNA from 2 species
AGAGUUUGAUCAUGGCUCAGAUUGAACGCUGGCGGCAGGCCUAACACAUGCAAGUCGAGCGGUAGCACAGAGAGCUUGCUCUCGGGUGACGAGCGGCGGACGGGUGAGUAAUGUCUGGGAAACUGCCUGAUGGAGGGGGAUAACUACUGGAAACGGUAGCUAAUACCGCAUAACGUCGCAAGACCAAAGUGGGGGACCUUCGGGCCUCAUGCCAUCAGAUGUGCCCAGAUGGGAUUAGCUAGUAGGUGGGGUAAUGGCUCACCUAGGCGACGAUCCCUAGCUGGUCUGAGAGGAUGACCAGCCACACUGGAACUGAGACACGGUCCAGACUCCUACGGGAGGCAGCAGUGGGGAAUAUUGCACAAUGGGCGCAAGCCUGAUGCAGCCAUGCCGCGUGUAUGAAGAAGGCCUUCGGGUUGUAAAGUACUUUCAGCGAGGAGGAAGGCGUUAAGGUUAAUAACCUUGGCGAUUGACGUUACUCGCAGAAGAAGCACCGGCUAACUCCGUGCCAGCAGCCGCGGUAAUACGGAGGGUGCAAGCGUUAAUCGGAAUUACUGGGCGUAAAGCGCACGCAGGCGGUCUGUCAAGUCGGAUGUGAAAUCCCCGGGCUCAACCUGGGAACUGCAUUCGAAACUGGCAGGCUAGAGUCUUGUAGAGGGGGGUAGAAUUCCAGGUGUAGCGGUGAAAUGCGUAGAGAUCUGGAGGAAUACCGGUGGCGAAGGCGGCCCCCUGGACAAAGACUGACGCUCAGGUGCGAAAGCGUGGGGAGCAAACAGGAUUAGAUACCCUGGUAGUCCACGCCGUAAACGAUGUCGACUUGGAGGUUGUGCCCUUGAGGCGUGGCUUCCGGAGCUAACGCGUUAAGUCGACCGCCUGGGGAGUACGGCCGCAAGGUUAAAACUCAAAUGAAUUGACGGGGGCCCGCACAAGCGGUGGAGCAUGUGGUUUAAUUCGAUGCAACGCGAAGAACCUUACCUACUCUUGACAUCCAGAGAACUUAGCAGAGAUGCUUUGGUGCCUUCGGGAACUCUGAGACAGGUGCUGCAUGGCUGUCGUCAGCUCGUGUUGUGAAAUGUUGGGUUAAGUCCCGCAACGAGCGCAACCCUUAUCCUUUGUUGCCAGCGGUCCGGCCGGGAACUCAAAGGAGACUGCCAGUGAUAAACUGGAGGAAGGUGGGGAUGACGUCAAGUCAUCAUGGCCCUUACGAGUAGGGCUACACACGUGCUACAAUGGCAUAUACAAAGAGAAGCGACCUCGCGAGAGCAAGCGGACCUCAUAAAGUAUGUCGUAGUCCGGAUUGGAGUCUGCAACUCGACUCCAUGAAGUCGGAAUCGCUAGUAAUCGUAGAUCAGAAUGCUACGGUGAAUACGUUCCCGGGCCUUGUACACACCGCCCGUCACACCAUGGGAGUGGGUUGCAAAAGAAGUAGGUAGCUUAACCUUCGGGAGGGCGCUUACCACUUUGUGAUUCAUGACUGGGGUGAAGUCGUAACAAGGUAACCGUAGGGGAACCUGCGGUUGGAUCACCUCCUUA